GCCGGGCGCGGUGGCGUGUGCCUAUAGUCUCAGCUACUUGGGAGGCUGAGGUAGGAGGAUUGCUUGAGUCUAGGAGUCCUGGGCUGUAGUGCACUAUGCAGAUCAGGUGUCCACACUAAGUUGGGCAUCAAUAUGGUGACCCUGGGAGCGGGAGACCACUACGUUGCCUAAGGAGGGGUGAACUGGUCCAGGUCAGAAGCAGAGCAGGUCAAAACUCCCAUGCUGAUCAGUAGUGGGAUUGCACCUGUGAAUAGCCACUGCACUCCAGCCUGGGCAACACAGCAAGAACCCAUCUCUA
ensembl:misc_RNA Metazoa_SRP Metazoan signal recognition particle RNA